UACGGAGGGUGCAAGCGUUAUCCGGAUUCACUGGGGUUUAAAGGGUGCGUAGGUGGGCAAGUAAGUCAGUGGGUGAAAUCUCCCGGGGCUUAACCCGGAAACUGCCCAUUGAUACUAUUUGUCUUGAAUACUGUGGAGGGUUCAGCGGGAAAUAUGUCCAUGUAGCGGGUGAAAUGCUUAGAUAUGACAUAGAACACCCAAUUGCGA
rnacentral:rRNA from 1 species